rnacentral:rRNA from 1 species
GGCUACACACGUGCUACAAUGGGUAGUACAGAGAGUCGCAAAGCCGUGAGGUAGAGCUAAUCUCAGAAAACUAUUCUUAGUUCGGAUUGUACUCUGCAACUCGAGUACAUGAAGUUGGAAUCGCUAGUAAUCGCGAAUCAGCAAUGUCGCGGUGAAUACGUUCUCGGGUCUUGUACACACCGCCCGUCACACCACGAGAGUUGGUUGCACCUGAAGUAGCAGGCCUAACCGUAAGGAGGGAUGCUCCGAGGGUGUGAUUAGCGAUUGGGGUGAAGUCGUAACAAGGUAUCCGUACGGGAACGU